GUGCUGUCAGGUGAAUGGCUAAACACAGACCUCUUUCUGCACUGAAGUUCCAGCAAAUGGUCUGACUGACUUCUUUUAUGUGUACUUGCAUGGAAUUAGAAAGUAGUUGGAGAUACAAGAACUGGGAACCCACAGAUGAGAAAAUGGGCUGCUUAAAAAUGAAUUGCUGAUUUCCAUAUAACAUGACCUGUAUAAUCCACAGGCCCUUUGGAGACGUCUGUUUUCCAGACUCCAAACUAUCGUGUCACACAGGUGGGAAAUGAAGUGUCUUUCAACUGUGAGCAAACUCUGGGCCACGAUACUAUGUACUGGUACAAGCAAGACUCUAAGAAAUUGCUGAAGAUUUUGUUUAGCUACAAUAAUAAGCAACUCAUUGUAAACGAAACAGUCCCAAGGCGCUUCUCACCUCAGUCUUCAGAUAAAGCUCAUUUGAAUCUUCAAAUCAAGUCUGUAGAGCUGGAGGACUCUGCUGUGUAUCUCUGUGCCAGCAGCUAAGACACAGUUGUGCAGAGUCACUGUUUCCCUAUGCACAAACCCAGCCAGCGAGGAAGCAGUGCAAGCCAAGUGUUAACCCACACCCGAGGCUCCAUGCCCCCAGAGCUUCUGAAGCAUCAGUGGUGUUUCAGUCUGAAGUCCAGCCUCCUGCGAUAAUACAUGAGGUGAACCAGUUCCGUGUUUUAUGCAUAGAUGAGUCUCACAGAAUUCUACAGAUUAGACAGAAUGGUAGUUCACAUCAUAGUCACCCAGAUGCUCUGAGUUACUUACUUCUUAUAGAAGUACAGUUUUAUCCUAGUGUUUGAAUUCAUUUUGAAGGGUCAAGUUCAGGAUUUUUCUUAUUAUUAGGUAGCUCUAGCAUAUAGCUAUUAUUACCAGUAAACAGACUUUCCAUUGAAGUUGAAGUGUAGUUACUUAUCAAUAUCUCUCUCAUGUACUGGGGGUUGAAUCCCAGAGUUUUCCAUCCUAAAUGUUUGCUGAAAACUCUUCUCAGCUCUCCAGCCUUCUAGACGAUUCUCCACUCAGGCUUCAGGUAGCCCAUCUUCUGCAUGCACAAAUUGAAUAGUGUUCUCCCCCUUCCAAAAUGUCUUUACUUAGAUUCUUGGGUCUACUUUGCAUUUCUAUGUGCCCCAAGAUCUAUCUGUAUUGGAAUUUUUUUUAACUUUAAGCACUAUGCAUUAUGGUGAUUUUUCAAUAUAACCACAGCAGUAAGUGAAUACUCCAAUUUAUUUAGGGAUCAUGGAUCAUUUUACUGUAUUUAUUAGUGUCCUUACAUUUCCUAGCCUAAAAACAAAGACUCAACACUUUCAUAAAAAUAAGUUGGAAUAAAGAUAAUAUCUGAUGGCUAAGUGGUAAAGUGCAUAUACAUUUUAUUCAAGGUAAUAGAAGUUACCAUGGUGGGCCUCCCAGUUAAUUUCCACUGGAAGGGCAUGGGACAUCAUGAUGAGGCUGGCUCCAUUUCUAACAUUUAAAAAAUGGACAUAACUGGGGAUAUUCCAUCCCAGAUUCUCUGGUUGUAUAGAUGAGAAAUUGUAUUAUACAUAGGAAAUAAUUUAAAUGCUACAAUACAAAUGACAUCCUUAAAUGUAUUAGAAUUUUAUUUUAUAGUUGUUAUCUAUGAAUACUCUUAAUUGUCCUGCUAAUCUGUAGGUGAACAUAGUAUUUUGUUUCCUGCUCUCAAUCGUUGGUCACUGAAGAUGAAAUAAACUAAUUUAGUCCAUAAACUC
rnacentral:lncRNA from 1 species